rnacentral:lncRNA from 1 species
CUGGGGUUCAUGAUUAAUUAAGUGGAGGAGAGCCAUGUUCUGAACAGAUACACUCUAGAUAAUCAUGCAUCUUUUGACUAUGGAGAUAAUCAGCCAGUGCCUCUGACCAAGCCAUGUUUUAAUCCAAGAGUAACUACCCUUGGAGAAUAUCGCCUGUUUCCGGGAGUAAGAAGAAAAUGGUCUGCACCAUGGCAACAUGUAUUACUACUGGCUGCCCAGUGGAGCAAAAGUUAUCCACUGAUCCAACUACUGCACCUGUAGUCAGAGAGGAAUCUGUUUCUGGUCUUCAACUAAC